UAUGGAUAUCUUUUGAAUGAAAUGAUGUAUAUGUAAGUGAAAAACAUAUGAUUAGUGAGAUCAGCGUAGUUGUAAUAGGACGUGGAAAUCAUAUGGUUGGAAGGGAGUGGUAAGCUAAAGCUAAAGGUAAUGGUUUAGAUCAGUAUAUUAUCUCUAAUCUUUGGAUUGGAGUCUUAAACUAUUCUUAUUGAGAAAGUGGUGGCUCACCCCCUUUUUAUAAAUUUCAGAAUAAGGAGUGCAGGACUAACCCAAAGAACCUUCACAAUAAGGAGAUCUUGCUUAAAAGGAAUAAAUGAUAGAGAGACACUUGUUUUUUUUAUGAAUUUGAUCU
rnacentral:lncRNA from 1 species